UGUUGUAGUUAGGGCUGCAAUGGUUGUCGUAGAUGCUAAAGUUGUUGUAGGAGCUGCAGUUGUUGUGGGAGCUACAGUUGUUGUAGGUGCUGUUGUUGUGGUUGUCGUAGGAGCUGAAGUUGUAGUUGUUGUAGCAGGAGCUGCAGUGGUUGUCGUAAUAGGUUCUGGAGUUGUAGUGGUCGUUGGAGCAGCAGUGGUUGUAGUUAGAGCUUCUAUGGUUGUCGUAGAGGCAGCUGCUGUGGUUGACGUAGGAGCUACAGUUGUUGUAUCAGGAGCUGUAGUUGUGAUUGUUGUAGUAAGUACAGCAGGUGGAGUGGUCGUGGUAGCUACAGUUGUAGGAACUGCAGGAGUUGUAGUAGGUGCCGUUGUUAUGGUUGUCGUAGGAGCUGAAGUUGUAGUUGUUGUAGAAGGUGCUGCAGUCACUGUGGUCGUAAGAACAGCAGUUGUUGUAGUAGGAGCUGCACUGGUUGUCGUAGUAGGUUGUGGAGUUGCAGUGGUCGUAGGAGCAGCAGUUGUUGUAGUUAGGGCUGCAGUGGUUGUCGUAGAUGCUAAAGUUGUUGUAGGAGCUGCAGUUGUUGUGGGAGCUACAGUUGUUGUAGGUGCUGUUGUGGUUGUCGUAGGAGCUGAAGUUGUAGUUGUUGUAGCAGGAGCUGCAGUGGUUGUC